CGAUGGUACCUCUCUGGGGCCAAGCCUGGGGCAGAGAGCUUCCCUCUAUACUCCAACUCGCCUGAAUGAGACAAUAAGAAAAUCGGACAACAAAGAGGACUUUCCACUACCCACAUGUCCGACCACAGCAACCAGGGAACCUCGUGGCACACGGAUACUGAUCCUGUCAACAAAGAAAGUCAUUCUACUUUCUGAAGUCAAGUCUUCGAUGUGACUGCACAUCUGCGACAUCAGUCAGCCCCACAGUGUCUCCGUCAGCAGCAGGAAGCUCACGACAGCAGAUGGCUUGCCAUCAUUUUCUCAACUGCCCAAGAACCAGAAGGUGUCUGAAUGAGACGGUGCUGUGAUUACCCUUCGGAGGAAAACCACGCGGGGUGACAGCG